UUAAACUCCAACUCAUAUUGAGGUAGGGUGUAGGUCUGUGCCUCUGCAGACACAAGGAUUUUGUUCAUUGUGAUUACAGCAGGUUUUAUUAAAAAUCUGAAUGAAGAUUUGUUUCCCUGAAGCUCUAGCUUGCUGACAGCUCUGGGAGAAGGAUGAAUGACAGCAUCAAACCUCAUCAGCCCAGAAAUGAAGAAUGCCAACAACUUGUCUAACCUGUAGAUCAGAGGUUGCAUGAUUCACUUGAAUUAAUACAAUUGGAAUCUGAGCAUUUCUUUAAAACAACAGUCUGACCAACUUAAGCAGCUUUCAAGGAUGGAGAACCAAAGCCAACCCCACUGCAGCAUUUAGAAACUUGCUCUACUGGUCAGUCACCUUCACUGUCAAAAUAUUUGUACAGAUUUUCUUUUUCCUCCAUUAUAAUUUAUUUCUUACUGCCUAUUUUUAAAGGCCUUAAGUUAUUUUGGGCACACUGGUGUACCAACCCAAUACCACUUCAGUCUCUGUUCAUACUGUGAAAACCUCCUAACCAACAGGUCUUGAAUCACUCCUAUGUUCUGUGCAGAAACUAGGUGCAAAUUCAAACCCAACGUUUAACAUGAGAAAACAUCAGGUCAAGCAGGAAAGAGCAAAGAAUUACAAAGCCGAUUUUGGCCAGAGGGGAGAGGAGAGACAGAGAAACAAGCAAGAUAAGUUGUGGGGUUUCGGGAGGAAAAAAAACCCACACACAAGCAAACACUCCCCACCCCAGUUCCCAGAAAAUCCAGUGUUUGCCUCUGGUAAUGCUGUUUCCCCUCCUGCCUUCCACAGGUAGCAGCCACAGCAAGUCACUCCUCAGAUGCUUCCAGAGUCACUGUUGUCACUCGUACUCACUGUCACACACCAUCAGCGCUCGCUGGGCCAGGCACACACAUUUCUACAGACAUUGCUCUGGACAAUAAAAUGCAAAGAGUGGCUACAGGCAGCAGCUGCAAAGCCUGUUUCUGCGACCUCUCCCUCCCUAGUGUUUACAUGGGAAGGAUGGAAUGCCAUAGAGCAUACCCUCUGAGGUACAGUUGACUAGAACAGCUUUGCAAAGCCAAUCUCAAAACAUCUUUCCCACGUUUUUGGGAGCUGCAUUUAUUUAAAUGAUCAUCUUGAAGUAUUAAAAUCCUCACUUCCUCAUUUUAGCAUUAAAAACAAAACAGCAACUAAACCACUGGGAAAAACUUACUUGACAUGAGAUGUCUGACCCCUCUGACUCCCACUCAGAGCAGCGAUCCAGUACUGACACGCCUCCCCAUGCACAAACAGGGGACCCGAGGAGAGGAGGGACAGCAAAAAACAACUGAAACUCCAUCCAAACAACGAUACUUGUGGUACAAAGGAAGAGGACACAGGGAGGACACAACAGAGCUCAUGAUGAAGGACUAGCCUGUGAUACUACAAAGGCAAGGUCUUCCCUCCUAGUGCUUCUCGGAGGAAUCACAUCACACCUGUCCCUGGGAUCAAUCCUUGCUUCAUCACACUAACUUAAAUGGAGUUAUCCUGACUUGCACCAAUGUGAGAUUGGAACACAACUCUUGAAGUAAGUUUUAUGUUUUCUUGUGUUGUUUUAAUGCCAAUAAACAGGAAAUAGUUUUCUCUCUGACUCUCUUGGGACAUGUCACACUCCUUACACCAGAUCAGCUAUUAAGAGGCAGUGACUGUCCAGCAUAGGAAGGAACAUCUAGAUAUCCAUAUCAACUCUGCUACUUGGCUACCAAGAAAGAGGGAUAAAGAUUUAAAAGAGAAAGUAGGUAGAAACAACAGUUUUGGAAAAAGUUGAAAAAAACAAGGGCUCUGCAAGGAAAAAAAGUAACUUUUCCUAUAAGUCUAUUAUAGAAAACACUGAGAGUUUCACAUAAUUCCAGAGGCCAAGAGAGAAUGAAUCUGUAACUAGUCUGUGAUUUAGCAUUUCCAAUGCCUCAAUAAAAAUCUAUUUCAGUAGAGAAAAAGAAAUAAAAUAUUGAGGAGCAUUUGAAAUGAGAACCAUAAAAAAGCAAGAAAGACCACAAACAGAAGUUCAUUAAAUUAUGUUCUCUUCCACACAGAAGUCUGAAACAUGGAGAGAACUGGAAACCAGAUUUUUAUCAAACCAUCUCUGGAGGAAGUAGAUAACACAAUUCAGAAAAUGGGAUAAAGAUUUGGGAGUGCCGUCAGCAGAUUUAGGGAGAGGAAAGGGAAAGCACACAACCAAAAAAAAAAUCCCGUAAGUGUAAAAAGACUUCAAGAAUAUGGAAAACAUUUCCAAGUGCAGACUUAAAAUUAGAUAAAGAGAGGAGUCAAGAACUUUUCACCUUAAGUGUCUUGCUUCACAGAGGGGAAAAGGUGCAGGUGUGCCUGAAAUACAGGAACAUCUGGACUUUGUUAAGUCCUGGUUAUGCAAGCACUGAUCAUCUUAAUUAACCAGGCUUUGAGAACUGUCAGGAGGACAAAGAUUAAUUCUGUUUAACUCCAUGAAUAACACUUUUUAAGAACAAAAGGGUUCAGUCUGCACAACAGCUUCAUCAAGAAAGAUACACUUCUUAUUCCUACAGGGAUCCAGUAAAGAAGAGGAAAAGAUACUGGAUAAAAACUUUAAAGAGAAGAUGAAAAUGUACCUUCUUUUAAGCAGCAACUUCAUACAAAUAUACAUGACUGCAACUGUGCAGAUACAACUCAGCCCUCAAAAAAACACCAAAGCAACCCUUCAACCCAAAAAACUAAAACAAACCUUAUGUCAGGAUCUUUUUUCUGUAUGCUCAAGUAUUUUCCCAUGUUUCUGCUCACAAGCUUGCUGUGUCCUCAUCCAUAGCAAGUUCCUAUGACUACCUGCUCAGUGAGCCCCAUGCUACCCCCUGUUCUUGCAAGGCCACUGCCAGCCCUCCUCAGAAAGUUAAGUGCUCCCCUAGUGAGAACACCCGUCCUGUGAAGCAGAGUCCAUUUCAUUUCAUUUUAAUUUCAUUUAUUGAAAAGCCUUUUCCAAUUUAGCCUGAGUAAGCUUCUUUCCAUGGCUGUCUGCCCAAAUAUCUCUGAUCUUACAUGCUUUAUCCCUGGUCCAACUGCUCACUUAACCUAAACUGGCUCAUUUUCUAGUGUGCUUCUGGCACUCACAUCACAGGCCAGGAGGAAUUGAGCCCUUGCAUCCUCCUCCCUGAAGGUGAAUUGGAAGUUCAAACAAGAGCUUAGCCUAAGACUAGCUGUCCUGAGGAUUUAAUUCUGCAUCUCCAUCUGUAUUUUACACUGAGCUUUCACCAAAGGUGUUGUUUUCCUAUUUCCUUUCAUGCUACUGUUUCAGUAGUUUUGGGAGCUACCUCUCUAUUUCACUCUGUCAUCAGGGAACUGGGGACCAUUUUCUGCAGUGAAACUGCUUUGUUCAACAUCCAAUCAUACCUACAAGAUCACAAAUAAGUAAGUAAAUAUGACAAACAGCAGAGUUUCCCAUUUAUCUACAUUGGCACUCACACUCCUUUUGUUUUGCUACUCCAUUUUGUUCUCUCUCAGGUGUAAACACAGUGCCAACACAUUACACUGCUUUGUUAACCAGCCAUGAUAAUACAGCUUUGAUGUUACUCAAAGUUUAACUUCACUGAAGUUGUGUUUAACGUGCCAUGAACAGAAUCACCUUGUGCAUCACAUCCUGCCUAGCUGUUGCUCUACCCUGCAAACAGACCUCUGCCACCAUACCUUCAGGUUAUUGCCCUAAAUUUGCAUUUAUAUCAGUCAACUGGAACUUAGGGUUUCUUACAGUAUGGCAUUGUUAUUACUCCAUUGUAUUGCUAUCUAAAUAUUAUGCCACUAAGUUCACCUUUGAAGACAACUUUCAUGUAUUUGACCAGUAUUGACAAAAAAGAAUUCAGUAACUUGUUCUGCCAUAAACACAUUUUUAAUAGCACCCUACCCUUUUUUCUAAACACUUUGAAGCUGCAGUGGGAACAAAGGAUUACCCAGAGAAUGGGCACAAUACAGAAGCAAUGCUCAAAGUAUUAUAACAUUAUUUUAUUAUUAUUAUUUUAAAUAAUAGUAUUAUUUCUAAAAACAGCAUCAGCCACAAUAAAUGCUAAGGCACUACAGUACAAUACAGACCCACACUGCUUACAAGAUUAACACAAAGGUUUUUGUCAGAUAAAAGCACUUUAGAAAAUUCAUAUGUGUGAUAUUUUCUCUUACAUUACAUAUGAAAAUAUCAAGACAUUAGUGCAUAAUAAAAUAGUAAAACAAUAGUACCUUUGCACAUUGUAUUAGCCUGGGCCUGUAAGAAAUUACAUGACCAAGACUAGCAAGACUAUGUGCUCUAGCUAAUAAUCUGCACAGCUACACACAGGAAAAGACUUUCCCCACCUUUUCAGGUGCCAUUGUCUUAGUUUUUAGGGUAAGGAGAGGGAGUUCAUAUACUUUACAGAUUGUGUGGACCAACAAGACCUAGUCUUCCCCAGGAUUACAGUCCUUGCAGUCACACAGUGAAACAGAAAUUGGCAGCAAUAGCUGGAGAAGGAGCUGGAGAAAGGGCAGGUAUUUUGAAGGAUGGUCAGGAGCAAGUAAUUUAGGCAUGUGAGAGGGUAACUGUCCUUGACAUUUGCAAACUGGCAAGCACUGUACAGCAGUGUCCAGGCUGCAACUAUAAAAUACUUUAAGUACUGCAGCUAGAGUUUAGCAGUGGUUCCCUAUUUGGUCACCCAGAACUGAAAGUCUUUAAAUAAAUACUUUUACAAACUACAGAUGUACCGGUGAGCAUGUCCAGCUUUUGUAUCCUUCACAUACCCUGUGGCUAAUGUUUUACCCUGGACACUGGCUACCCAUUGUCAACGUAAUAAGAAGUCCAAGCAUUUAAAAAUGAUGAGAGCUAUUCAUACAGCACUGGGGAAGAACAAAGGGACAAUAAUGAUGGUGUUGCACGUACUGCACAGCCUGACCAGCAUCAGAGAAGUGUUGAAGAGCCUGAGGCUGCCAGUCUCUUGCUCCACCAGAUGCCCUGUCUACAGCCACCCACCGCCCGCAACGUCUGCUGCAGGUUCUGCAGAAGCCAACGUCAAAUACUUGGGGAAAGUUGAAUUUUCACAAUGUGACACGAAUGAGAAUUUAGCUUCAGCUGGUUUGUGAGUACAGCUGCUACCCAUAAACCUAUCUUUUUCACACUCAGGUGAUACAUUACCACGCCCUACAAAUAUCUGUGACUUGUUUGGCACAUGACAUUUCAAAAACAAGAACAGCUUUGUAAUUAUGGUUUUGUUACAAGUAGUGGUAACCACGAAAUGUAUUUAAGGAGAUUUGCUGUAUAUGCAAUUCUAUCAAGCACAUACAUCCCUCCCCUAAACAGAGCCUAUUUGCCUUCAUUAACCAUCCCAGUGUCCCCCCAGCUUUUUGGAGGGCACAUAACCAUCUCCUCUCUUUGUCACUCCCUGCCUACACCAGGAGUUGCCUAACCUUCUGUCUGUCAGUGCUUCACUCCUUCUCCAUUGACAUCUCUAAAGUCUCCACCACAGACUUUGUACCUUUUAAAUAGUACCAGACGCAUAAAAGAGUUUCAGCAUCUGCAUAUGCUAAGGGCCUUCAGUUCCUCAGUAAAGUCGCCCUACAGGAAGCAAAUGCAAAUUACUGCCUUCUAGACAUAAGGCACGGUCCUGGGGACCUUAUUAUUAAAUCAUUAACCUUCGCCUUUCAUUUUACCCAUGUUUUCAGUAUUCAAAUGUUGCUUGAAAUAGACAACCUUAGUACUUCCCCAUGCUGCAAUUUGUUACCAAGUGCUUCAUUCCAAUGAUUGAACAGUGACAAACAAAUGAGAGUACCAGUUCUCAAGCAACAAGAAAGCAGUUCAAUAAUUAUUGCAAAAGUUAACAAUGGUGUCCCCAUAAAACCUUGCAAAAAUCUGUUUAUCAUUCCUAAGCAAUCCCUAAACCAAGAUUUUCAAAGAGCCCUAAAUACCAUUUUCUCUGCCUUCAAGGCUGUAGCUCUGCACCCUACUGAUGCUCCAGUUUAUCAGAAGAUGAUGCUAACCAUGGUUGGUAUCUUAUCUCUGUAAUCCCCCAGAGUUAGGCCAAGGUUAGCAUCGUACUACGGGUAUGUAAAAAUGUGUUUUGCUGUGGAAAGAACCACAUGUAAUUUGGUGAAAAGCCUAAAUAAUUGGUAUGUAAUAAUUAUGGUUUCUAGCACCAAAUGUUUGUUUUCCCGGCGGGGGGGGGGAGGAAAACCAAAAUUUUGUAAGAGCCCUUACCUAUUAAACAUCAGACUAAAAAUUGGCUCAUACACAUAUUAACAUAUUAGAUAUACAACCCUGAGAUGUGUGGUCAAAAAGCAUGUAUAGCUACUGAAAUCAGUGGGAGGGAGUUUUGCUGUUGAUUUGGACAGAAUGAAAAUAAAUCUGGUUUUCCCCUUCAUCAACCCUUCCUGUCCUCUUGAUGUACCCUUUCCUACAGAGGAGAAAACAGCAAUAUCCCUGGCAGGCAAGGUGAAAGGCUGAUGUAGCCCAGCAUCUUCCCAUCAGCCCAUUUCAAGCAGGAGACACUUCAAAGAGGACACAGAAAGCAGAGAUGCUUCCCCAAAACAUUCUCCCAGCCUUUGUGCCUCUCAGCCUUCCCCUGAGCAUGGACCCCAAGAAAGUCUGUUUGGUCAAACCUCCAGCGGUGGCUACAGGUGCUUUUCAUGACUGAAGUCCAGCACACACCCAAGCCUCAGCAAACCCUUUGAAACUGCCUGCUGUGGUGAGCCAGCACGACACUCAAGAGACAAGAACUGCUCAUCAGCCUUCACAGCUCCUGGUCCUGUCCUGCCAGCCCUCCAGCCUAGAGCAGCCUCCUCAGGAGAGAGCCAUGCUGCUGAACAGAGCUCCCUCCGCAGGAAGGGCAGAGCCCCUCGGCUCCUCCCCAGUGCCCAGGCAGCAUCGGUGCUGCCACCUCCACCCAAACACCUCACCAAGCCCACAGGGGUUCUAGUAACAGCAAAAGGAAAGCGCCUCUUGUCCUCUCUUAAAGCUCCCUUUGCAUUAAGUUCUUCUUUCAAAAAUUUUCCCAUACUUACUUACUAAAGCAAACAAAAAAAAUCUGGGACUUUUUUCCUAUUUAGAGAAACUGAAGUGUGAACACUGUGUAAGAUGUUAUAGUUCUUUCUGGGACUUUUGUGUCACAUUUUAUAGUAAUUUUUAUUGCACAGCACCACAUUCCUAAUACUUUGAAAAACUCAAACAAAAAACCCAAUACACCACAAGCAACAGUUAACAUUUACUAUUCACUUCUGCUUGUUUUGACAGAUCUGUUAACCAGGAACUUUUUCAGAUCUCUAUUUUUUGUGAAUAAGGCUAAGACUAUACUUCCUCACCAUAGCAUAUGCUAGAUUUUAAUGUUAAUUUUACUGUUCUUUCAUUUCACUUUUUCAAACCACAUCCAUUUAAGCUUUUUAAGCAUACUUAAAUAUACAAAUGUACUAAUUGUUGUUAUUAGAUCUAUCCUCUAAGAGGCUAAGUAUACUGAAUUACUACAUCAGGCAGUAGGAGAAGCUCUUCCAAAACUCCUGAGGUCCUCAGUACUUAAUGAGACGGGAUUUUAUAGCAUGCAUUAAAAUUGUUGUUACACACCAACAGCAUUCCCUCACGUGCACAGGUCCCUAAUGACAGCGUACAAGUCACACUGCAUGAGACAUGGUGUGUUCUACUGUAAUGUCACAAGGUUGACUUUCCCCGCUGAUAGACUACAACCACUGGGCAAGUACCAUUAAAAAAAAUUAAAAUUAUAAGAAUAAGAUAAAAUAAAUAUCAGCAUCUCUCUUUCCACAGCAGAACCUGUAUGAGAAGUCUCUAAUUCCCCCCUGCACACUGCCUGUGAAAGAGGUUCACAGACGUUGUCACUUUGCCAGCUGCAGCAUACCGCUCACGAGAAGCAUUCUAACGCUCUUUGGCACUGUGAGCACAACCACAUUUCUGCUGCUCCCAGUUUGCCUUAACACAGACUCUUCCCUAGAUGAGAAUUUAUUCCUGCUCCUGUAAAAGUUCAGCCUACGAAACACCAAGCAAGCUCUUCAGCUUCAGGAAGGAGCAGGCAUGCAGGCUGAAAAUACUCAGUGCUAGGCGAGCUGCUCCCUUCUGCUUUAUCUGUGAGCACAGGCAUUUUGGAAGCGUGUAUCUGCCCUAACACAUCCUUCAAAGGAGAGCAGUAUCUCUGGGUGCCAAAAGCCGAGUGACGGAGGCUGCUGUACCCCCAGAGAUACCUAUCGCUCCUCUCCUGCGGCAGGACACGCUGGAGGGGCCAUCAGUGUCCUUAACACAAGCCUGCAUGAAGCUCCAGGUGUGGCUGUGUCCCCAGUGACGCCAGGGACACAGGGUGUUCCCGGCUCUGAGAGCAGAUUAACGCGUACGGCUACAUGUGUGUUUACUUGACUGAGAUCCACAUUUAGACAUGUAUACAAGUGAACAAUCCCAUGCUGUUUACUGGGACAAGACUCCCACUGACUGCAGUGGGUAACUGUCUGCCUGCACAGCUGAGGAUUAAACCUUCAAACCUUCUGCCCAUGUGCACAUUUCUAACUCAUCAAAGAAAAAGGAAAAGCAAGUAUGCCCAUGUAACCGUGGAUCUCUCCAACACUUGGCUACAUUUGGAUUCCGAGAGCACGUGUGCCUUUUUAAUACUGUCAAAAGAAAGACUAAUGCUCAGCCCAUGUUUUUUGAACAAGAGUUUCUAAAUUUUGUUAUUCUAUAUGCAGAGUAGAUUUCUAUCUCUGACUUUAUAAGGCAAAACAAUUUUUUUGAAAUCACUUAAAAUUAUGCACACUGGAGGAACGUACACUUAUUAAAAGAAAUGGACUGUCAGAUCCUAAAAUAUCACUCUAACUGCUUCCAUUUGGAGAGAAAAUCUUUAUUGACAGUGAAAUGUGUUCUCCAGCUGGCUGAACAGUGCUCAGCCCAACACUUUUUGCAAUUCUUAUGCGUCUUCCCUAACCUUAGGGCCAACCCCAGCAUCAGUCUACUUCUACCAUACAAUUCAUAUUUGGAUGGCUGAUCCAGGACUCCAAACUCCAUCACUGGGCAGUGAGCUUGUUCCUUUUCUCCAUCAUUGGCCAAAACAUGUUGAGGUUACCCUGGUUUAUUUGGCAACUAUGCUGCUAGAGCUGUUUGGUCAAGCCAUAUGAGGAUUUCUGGCUUUGCAUCCAUCUGUCAAAAAUGCAGUAUAUGUUAUACAUGCUCCCAAGAAGUGCUCAUAUUCCCAAUAUUAUAAAAUGGUUUCCUAGAUGUCAGUAGUAUCACCACUCUAUUACUCUGACAAUUUUCCAAGUAUGGCAGGAGCUGGACUGUAGCCAUUAAAAUGUUGAUCCUAAGAAUACAAGGUAACAAACCAGACUACAGACUGCCGCCUUGAAAUGACCAAAAAAGCUGUCUCCUAACACACAUUAAACAGCAAAAGUUAAUUUUCCAUAAUAAAUUAAUCAGAUUUAAAGACAGUGUUGCAAGAAGUCGUGUAGGCAGCAUGACAUUUUCUAUGACAACUGGAUAACCUGGAUUCAUGGAAAAAAUGAUAGUAUGAGACAAUUUAAACACAAUCUCACAUAACUGUGAUGACUAAGUCAAUUUGAAUGUUUUCCCUGAAAAUGAUUCUUCUGUUUCUUCAAAGCAGAUACUGGAAGAUCAUACAUGACCUGGGAACUAGAACAGA